rnacentral:rRNA from 1 species
UAGGGAAUCUUCGGCAAUGGACGGAAGUCUGACCGAGCAACGCCGCGUGAGUGAAGAAGGUUUUCGGAUCGUAAAGCUCUGUUGUAAGAGAAGAACGAGUGUGAGAGUGGAAAGUUCACACUGUGACGGUAUCUUACCAGAAAGGGACGGCUAACUACGUGCCAGCAGCCGCGGUAAUACGUAGGUCCCGAGCGUUGUCCGGAUUUAUUGGGCGUAAAGCGAGCGCAGGCGGUUAGAUAAGUCUGAAGUUAAAGGCUGUGGCUUAACCAUAGUACGCUUUGGAAACUGUUUAACUUGAGUGCAGAAGGGGAGAGUGGAAUUCCAUGUGUAGCGGUGAAAUGCGUAGAUAUAUGGAGGAACACCGGUGGCGAAAGCGGCUCUCUGGUCUGUAACUGACGCUGAGGCUCGAAAGCGUGGGGAGCAAACAGGAUUAGAUACCCUGGUAGUCCACGCCGUAAACGAUGAGUGCUAGGUGUUGGGUCCUUUCCGGGACUCAGUGCCGUAGCUAACGCAUUAAGCACUCCGCCUGGGGAGUACGACCGCAAGGUU